UGGGCUGUUGGACAUGUAGAA
rnacentral:piRNA from 1 species